AUUUGAAAGAGUGCUUAUCUAUGAAAGUCCAGCUAUCCAAGAAAAGGCUCGCCAAGUUCUUCCUACCCAGGAUCUUCAUGAAGCAGCAAGGAAGAGACUAGCAGUGAUUAACAAAGAUCUGCCAGAAGAUGAGAAACCUUUAGAUUUUCAGGAUUGUGUGUUACUGGCACUUUUAGAGUGGUUUAAAACAAAGUUUUUCAAGUGGUUUGAUGCUCCUGCGUGUCCUCAGUGCCAAAAGAAAAUGCGGGCUUCAGAGACACUUUCACCAACGCAGGAAGAUUUAAUGUGGGGUGGAGAAAGGGUUGAAGGAUAUUCAUGCCAGCCAUGUGGUACAAAGGAUCGUUUUGUUCGAUAUAAUCAUCCUGCCAAAUUGUUAGAAGACUAGGCAAGGACGUUGUGGAGAGUGGGCAAACUGCUUUACUCUCUUGUGCCGUACUUUGGGCAUGGAUGCCAGAUAUGUACUUGAUCACACAGACCAUGUUUGGACGGAAGUGUUUUCACAAUCGCAGAACCGCUGGCUUCAUGCUGAUUCUUGUGAAAACAAAAUGGAUCAGCCACUUAUAUAUGAGAGAGGUUGGGGUAAGAAGCUA